UCGGGAAUAUUGCGCAAUGGAGGAAACUCUGACGCAGUGACGCCGCGUAUAGGAAGAAGGUUUUCGGAUUGUAAACUAUUGUCCACAGGGAAGAUUUAAGACUGUACCUGUGAAGAAAGCUCCGGCUAACUACGUGCCAGCAGCCGCGGUAAUACGUAGGGAGCAAGCGUUAUCCGGAAUUAUUGGGUGUAAAGGGUGCGUAGACGGGAUAACAAGUUGGUUGUGAAACCCCUCGGCUUAACUGAGGAACUGCAACCAAAACUAUUAUUCUUGAGUGCAGGAGAGGAAAGUGGAAUUCCUAGU
rnacentral:rRNA from 1 species